GACGGAGGAUGCAAGUGUUAUCCGGAAUCACUGGGCGUAAAGCGUCUGUAGGUGGUUUAAAAAGUCCACUGUUAAAGAUUGAAGCUUAACUUCAAAAAUGCCGUGGAAACUUUUAAACUUGAGUAUGAUAGGGGUAGAGGGAAUUUCCAGUGGAGCGGUGAAAUGCGUAGAUAUUGGAAAGAACACCAACGGCGAAAGCAACUCUGCUGGGCCGACACUGACACUGAGAGACGAAAGCUAGGGGAGCGAAUGGG
rnacentral:rRNA from 1 species